rnacentral:rRNA from 1 species
UACGGGGGGGGCAAGCGUUGUUCGGAAUUACUGGGCGUAAAGGGCUCGUAGGUUGCCAACUAAGUCAGACGUGAAAUCCCUCGGCUUAACCGGGGAACUGCGUCUGAUACUGGAUGGCUUGAGUUCGGGAGAGGGAUGCGGAAUUCCAGGUGUAGCGGUGAAAUGCGUAGAUAUCUGGAGGAACACCGGUGGCGAAGGCGGCAUCCUGGACCGACACUGACACUGAGGAGCGAAAGCCAGGGGAGCGAAACGGGG